rnacentral:rRNA from 1 species
GAUGAACGCUGGCGGCGUGCCUAAUACAUGCAAGUCGGGCGAACUGAUUAGAAGCUUGCUUCUAUGACGUUAGCGGCGGACGGGUGAGUAACACGUGGGCAACCUGCCUGUAAGACUGGGAUAACUUCGGGAAACCGAAGCUAAUACCGGAUAGGAUCUUCUCCUUCAUGGGAGAUGAUUGAAAGAUGGUUUCGGCUAUCACUUACAGAUGGGCCCGCGGUGCAUUAGCUAGUUGGUGAGGUAACGGCUCACCAAGGCAACGAUGCAUAGCCGACCUGAGAGGGUGAUCGGCAACACUGGGACUGAGACACGGCCCAGACUCCUACGGGAGGCAGCAGUAGGGAAUCUUCCGCAAUGGACGAAAGUCUGACGGAGCAACGCCGCGUGAGUGAUGAAGGCUUUCGGGUCGUAAAACUCUGUUGUUAGGGAAGAACAAGUACGAGAGUAACUGCUCGUACCUUGACGGUACCUAACCAGAAAGCCACGGCUAACUACGUGCCAGCCGCCGCGGUAAAAC